rnacentral:rRNA from 1 species
CCUACGGGAGGCAGCAGUGGGGAAUAUUGGGCAAUGGGCGCAAGCCUGACCCAGCAACGCCGCGUGAAGGAAGAAGGCUUUCGGGUUGUAAACUUCUUUUCUCAGGGACGAAGCAAGUGACGGUACAUGAGGAAUAAGCCACGGCUAACUACGUGCCAGCAGCCGCGGGAAUACGUAGGUGGCAAGCGUUAUCCGGAUUUACUGGGUGUAAAGGGCGUGUAGGCGGGGACGCAAGUCAGAUGUGAAAACCAUGGGCUCAACCUGUGGCCUGCAUUUGAAACUGUGUUUCUUGAGUACUGGAGAGGCAGACGGAAUUCCUAGUGGAGCGGUGAAAUGCGUAGAUAUUAGGAGGAAAACCAGUGGCGAAGGCGGUCUGCUGGACAGCAACUGACGCUGAGGCGCGAAAGCGUGGGGAGCAAACAGGAUUAGAUACCCCUGUAGUC